rnacentral:rRNA from 1 species
GUGUCCGCUGAACUUAAGCAUAUCAAUAAGCGGAGGAAAAGAAACCAACAGGGAUUGCCCUAGUAACGGCGAGUGAAGCGGCAACAGCUCAAAUUUGAAAGCUGGCUCUCGGGCCCGCAUUGUAAUUUGCAGAGGAUGCUUCUGGCGACGCGCCUUCCGAGUUCCCUGGAACGGGACGCCAUAGAGGGUGAGAGCCCCGUCCGGUCGUGCGCCUAGCCUCUGUGAAGCUCCUUCGACGAGUCGAGUAGUUUGGGAAUGCUGCUCAAAAUGGGAGGUAUACGUCUUCUAAAGCUAAAUACCGGCCAGAGACCGAUAGCGCACAAGUAGAGUGAUCGAAAGAUGAAAAGCACUUUGAAAAGAGAGUUAAAAAGUACGUGAAAUUGUUGAAAGGGAAGCGCUCAUGACCAGACUUGGGCUGGCCCGAUCAUCCGGCGUUCUCGCCGGUGCACUCGGGCCGCCCAGGCCAGCAUCAGCUUUCGCCGGGGGAUAAAGGCGGCGGGAAUGUGGCUCCCUCGGGAGUGUUAUAGCCCGCCGUGCAAUACCCUGGUGGGGGCUGAGGUUCGCGCGUAUGCACGGAUGCUGGCGUAAUGGUUAUCAGCGACCCGUCUUGAAACACGGACCAAGGAGUCGUCUUCGUAUGCGAGUGUUCGGGUGUCAAACCCCUACGCGGAAUGAAAGUGAACGCUGGUGAGAGCUUCGGCGCAUCACCGACCGAUCCUGAUGUUCUCGGACGGAUUUGAGUAAGAGCAUACGGGGCCGGACCCGAAAGAAGGUGAACUAUGCCUGUAUAGGGUGAAGCCAGAGGAAACUCUGGUGGAGGCUCGCAGCGGUUCUGACGUGCAAAUCGAUCGUCAAAUAUGGGCAUGGGGGCGAAAGACUAAUCGAACCUUCAGGGGG